rnacentral:lncRNA from 1 species
ACCUGACCGCCAUGUGUCUCUCCUCCUCCCCACCUCGUGGCUGGCAGCAGCCCUCCAGCUUUGGCUCCGUGGACUGGCUCUGCCUGAGCAGCUGCUCAGGGUCGACCCACACCCCCAGGCCUGCCGACGUCUCCCCCGGGAGCCUCCCUGGCCCGGGCCAGACGUUCGGCACCCGGGAGCCCCCUCAGGCUGUCAGUACCAAGGAGGCUAGCUCGUCAAAUCUGCAUGCGCCGGAGAGGACUGUGGCUGGGUUGAGUAAGGAGCCAAACCCCUAGCUGGCUCCCGGUGUCCGCACAGCCUUCACCACGGAGCAGGUCCGUGCCUUGGAGGGCGUCUUCCGGCACCACCAGUACCUGGGCCCUCUGGAGCGGAAUUGGCUGGCCAGGGAGAUGCAGCUCUCAGAGGUCCAGAUAAAAACCUGGUUUCAAAAUCGCCGGAUGAAACACAAACGGCAAAUGCAGGACUCCCAGCUAAACGGCCCCUUAUCGGGGUCUCUCCACGGGCCCCCUGCUUUCCACUCACCAUCUUCUGGCCUUGCCAAUGGCCUGCAGCUGCUGUGCCCUUGGGCACCCCUGCCUGGGUCCCCUGGCUGCCCCUUGGCUCCUUCUGGGGUCUCCGACAAAUGGAUCAAGAGGCCCUGGCCUCUUCGUGGGCUUCCUGCUGCGGGCAGCCUCUGGCAUACCACCCCCCACGCCCAGGAAGUGGUGCGCAUAAGCUGGGACCAGCCCUGUCCACGGGGCCCCGGGGCCUGUGUGCUCUGCCAGAGACAGGGGAUGCAUUUGAGGAAACGCCUCCGACUACAUGCCUCCCACACAAGCGGUCUGUGCAGAUCGCAUCUGACGCCUACCCGGAGGACUCAGCUGUUCUGUUUACAUCGUGGCGGCACCUCUCACCCUGACCCUCGCAAAGGUUCUGGAGAUUUCUGGAGAAUAUAUUUGUUAAAGUCACCUCUUCACUUAA